rnacentral:rRNA from 1 species
UACGUAGGUGGCAUGCGUUGUCCGGAUUUACUGGGCGUAAAGGAUGCGUAGGCGGACAUUUAAGUCAGAUGUGAAAUACCCGAGCUUAACUUGGGUGCUGCAUUUGAAACUGGGUGUCUAGAGUGCAGGAGAGGUAAGUGGAAUUCCUAGUGUAGCGGUGAAAUGCGUAGAGAUUAGGAAGAACACCAGUGGCGAAGGCGACUUACUGGACUGUAACUGACGCUGAGGCAUGAAAGCGUGGGGAGCAAACAGG